AGCUUAUUAAAUCAACGUAUAUGGAGAGAUAUUUUGAGAGAGGAGACUACCCAAAGGACUGAAGUAAAGAAGGAUUGAUUACACCUUUGAGGUGAUAUCUAAGUUUUUAAAGGAAGCGUCAGGGAGAAGUUCCUUUUGAUAUGGCUUUUUGAGGUCUUUUCCUUAUAGGAGUCUUCUUGGGCAUAUUUCGCGGAAUCCUUUCCAUAUAGGAAUCCCUUUGGAUAUCACUAAACGUGGAGAGCAAGACAUUUCCUUAUAUACACAAUCGUGGAUGGCAAGCAAUCCUUUACUAAGGUCGUCAGCUUACCCUACGCCUUCAGCCUUAACCCCGUCAGCUUUAUGAUGCCAUUAGCCCUUGGGUAUGCCUUGUGGGUGCCUCUUCCUAAAUAUCCAUUUUGUCAAUACGUGUAAAUGAAGGCUGGCGGGUUUAAUUGUAUCCAUCCUCUUUUAACUGUCAGCUUGUACCUUAUUGUGAGUAAUCUCUAUUUUUAUCCACAUCAGUUACUA